UAGCUCAGAGGUUAAAGCGUCUGCCUGCAAUGCGGGAGACCCAGGUUCAAUCCCUGG
rnacentral:tRNA from 1 species